rnacentral:piRNA from 1 species
CAGAAUGGUGGUCAAGUACCGGCUUCGGUUA